AGUGAACGCUGGCGGUAGGCCUAACACAUGCAAGUCGAACGGCAGCACAGGAGAGCUUGCUCUCUGGGUGGCGAGUGGCGGACGGGUGAGGAAUACAUCGGAAUCUACUCUGUCGUGGGGGAUAACGUAGGGAAACUUACGCUAAUACCGCAUACGACCUACGGGUGAAAGCAGGGGACCUUCGGGCCUUGCGCGAUUGAAUGAGCCGAUGUCGGAUUAGCUAGUUGGCGGGGUAAAGGCCCACCAAGGCGACGAUCCGUAGCUGGUCUGAUAGGAUGAUCAGCCACACUGGAACUGAGACACGGUCCAUACUCCUACGGGGGACAGCAGUUGGGAAUAUUGGACAAUGGGCGCAAGCCUAGUCCAGCCAUACCGCGUGGGUGAAGAAGGCCUUCGGGUUGUAAAGCCCUUUUGUUGGGAAAGAAAUCCAGCUGGCUAAUACCCGGUUGGGAUGACGGUACCCAAAGAAUAAGCACCGGCUAACUUCGUGCCAGCCGCCGCCGUAA
rnacentral:rRNA from 1 species